rnacentral:lncRNA from 1 species
CUUGUUUUGUACUUUGUACUGAAAAGUUGUUUUCAUCAUGUUAGAAAAAGAGUCAAAUAUCAAAUGUGUUUAGUUUCAAAAUCAAAUUCGCUUUUUUCCUGGAACUGAAAUAUGAGGUGCAGAGAAAUGUGAGGGAAUAUUCAGUGCGCGUGGAAUAGCACCGUUUAUGUAUUUCUUUACAUAUUUAUAUUGUGCUUUUAAAAGCACAAACACUGGAUGCAAGAGAGCAUUUUAGGAUAUUUUAGAAAGUUCAAAAAUCCCACACUUCUUUUUCAGUCAGUUCCGAUCUGCAGUUUGAUCAAUUAAAUUAAUGCCUAAAAAAAUCAAGGCAAUAAACUGCGUGGAAAAUCAGGGCCAAAUGACGAUCAGCCAGCGGCGACUCUUGAUCUACUGACCUCGCGCUGCCUUCAGCCCUCGCGGUCGAUCAAAGGUGCACUUGGGACUUGCUGACGCCCCCUCGGGGGACACGGCGGGGGUCCGCAGCGCGUCCCGUCAGUCCCGCUUGUCGCCCAGAGCCGAGCCGAGCCGAGCCGAGACGAGAGGAAGAUCACGAUCAUCAUGUCGCAUCAUCAUCAUCAUGUGCUGCUGGUGCUGCUGUUCGCCUGCGGAGCUCAGCUGAUCGCCAUCCAGGCGCAGCAGAGUUACGACACUCGCCCCCCCCUCUUUAAGGACAUCAUAAAUCAUGCGAUUAGACACGCGAACGAAAAGGCGAGAUUCCACUUGAAUUUUUUCGGUGUCCUGAAAUCUGAGGUUACAUCGAGCAGAUUUUUCCUUACGAUUCACCUAAAACCAACAGAGUGCACAAAGGACGACAAGGGCGAGCAUCGGAAUGACUGCAAGUUUAAGAGCGGGACGGCUGCUGAGGAAGAGCGGAAAGAGAAAUGUAACAUUACAGAAAUGUUUGGAAGUAAACAUCUGUUGAGUCUUAAAACCACAGAAGAAGAUGCCUUUGAAUGUCUUGGCUGCUUCUGAGAGGAAAAAGGCAUUUCAUCAUAAUAUCCAGACAUAGAACUUGGGGGGGAAAAAAAAAACAGGAGUCUGCUUACAGCACAAUAUAACUUAAUGACUCAUAGUGGAAUUAAAUAAAUCAAUGCAGCUAGGUGUUGCA